rnacentral:rRNA from 1 species
AUCCUAAAAAGCUAGCCCAACUCCCCGAAAAACACACCCUUUAAAACUAAUUCCUGUAAAACACCCAACAAACCAUUUUACCUCCCCAGUACCCGGGCGACAGAAAAGGAGACCCAGGCGCAAUAGAAAAAGUACCGUAAGGGAAAGCUGAAAGAGAAAUGAAACAACUACCCCAAGCUACGAAAAGCAGAGAUAACCCCUCGUACCUUUUGCAUCAUGAUCUAGCCAGUAUGCCUGAGCAAAGUGUACUUUAGUUCAGCCCCCCGAAACUAGACGAGCUACUUCAAGACAGCCUAUGUUGGGCAAACCCGUCUCUGUCGCAAAAGAGUGGGAUGAUCUUCAAGUAGAGGUGACAAACCUAUCGAGCCUAGUCAUAGCUGGUUGUCUGAGAAGUGUAUAUGAGUUCAGCCUCCCGGCUCCCCCAUCCAAGACAUUUAUGUCUCCCAAGACCAAGUGUGACCGAGAGAGUUAGUCAAAGAGGGUACAGCCCCUUUGAAAAAGGACACAACCUCACCGGGAGACUAAAGAUCAUA